rfam:Cyanothece sp. PCC 7424, complete genome.
CCUGGUGUCUUUAGCGCUGUGGCCCCACUUCGAUCCCAUCCCGAACUCGACUGUGAAACGCAGCAGCGGCCAAGAUACUUGUCGGGUAGCUGACUGGGAAAAUAGCUCGAUGCCAGGU